rnacentral:rRNA from 1 species
UAGGGAAUCUUCGGCAAUGGACGAAAGUCUGACCGAGCAACGCCGCGUGAGUGAAGAAGGUUUUCGGAUCGUAAAACUCUGUUGUUAGAGAAGAACAAGGACGUUAGUAACUGAACGUCCCCUGACGGUAUCUAACCAGAAAGCCACGGCUAACUACGUGCCAGCAGCCGCGGUAAUACGUAGGUGGCAAGCGUUGUCCGGAUUUAUUGGGCGUAAAGCGAGCGCAGGCGGUUUCUUAAGUCUGAUGUGAAAGCCCCCGGCUCAACCGGGGAGGGUCAUUGGGAACUAGGAGACUUGAGUGCAGAAGAGGAGAGUGGAAUUCCAUGUGUAGCGGUGAAAUGCGUAGAUAUAUGGAGGAACACCAGUGGCGAAGGCGGCUCUCUGGUCUGUAACUGACGCUGAGGCUCGAAAGCGUGGGGAGCAAACAGG